AGGUCCAUGAUUUGGUCAGCUGUGCAGCAGGAGAUGGGUCAAAGGAGGUUUAUUCUGAGACUGAACAACAGGUGCAUGAUUUGGUCAGCUGUGCAGCAGGAAAUGGGUCAAAGGAGGUUUUUUCUGAGACUGAACAACAGGUGCAUGCUUUGGUCAGCUGUGCAGCAGGAGAUGGGUCAAAGGAGAUCUCAACAACGUCUGAUUCUCAGCUGACAUGUCAUGACAACACUCAACAGGU